ACAGAGAUCUGGAUCUGAAUCCAGCUGUGUGUCCUUCAGGAGUGACAUAUCAAAGGGUCGUGGUCCUGACUUCGAGUCCAUCAGUCCUGGAGUGGAACAGUUCCAACAGAGAUCUGAAUCUGAAUCCAGCUGUGUGUCCAACAGGAGUGAUGACUCAAAGCAUCAUAAUCCUGUCUUCAAGUCCAUCAGUCCAGGAGUGGAACAGUUCCAACAGAGAUCUGAAUCUAGAUCCAGCUGUGUGUCCAAAAGGAGUGACGACUCAAAGCAUCAUAAUCCUGUCUUCAAGUCCAUCAGUUCAGCAGUGGAACAAGUGGACCAGCAGAGCUCAGAGACUCCCAGUGGUCCGUCUGUCCAGCAGCAUCAAAC